rnacentral:rRNA from 1 species
GGGUUGUGAGGUUAAGCGACUAAGCGUACACGGUGGAUGCCCUGGCAGUCAGAGGCGAUGAAGGGCGUGCUAAUCUGCGAUAAGCGCCGGUAAGGUGAUAUGAACCGUUAUAACCGGCGAUACCCGAAUGGGGAAACCCAGUGUGACUCGUCACACUAUCAUUAACUGAAUCCAUAGGUUAAUGAGGCGAACCGGGGGAACUGAAACAUCUAAGUACCCCGAGGAAAAGAAAUCAACCGAGAUUCCCCCAGUAGCGGCGAGCGAACGGGGAGGAGCCCAGAGCCUGAAUCAGCAUGUGUGUUAGUGGAAGCGUCUGGAAAGGCGCGCGAUACAGGGUGACAGCCCCGUACACAAAAGCGCAUGUGCUGUGAGCUCGAUGAGUAGGGCGGGACACGUGGUAUCCUGUCUGAAUAUGGGGGGACCAUCCUCCAAGGCUAAAUACUCCUGACUGACCGAUAGUGAACCAGUACCGUGAGGGAAAGGCGAAAAGAACCCCGGCGAGGGGAGUGAAAAAGAACCUGAAACCGUGUA